CCUGGAAGAGCAAAGGCAGGCAGGCGACGGAGUGGACCAAUACCUACAAGGUCCUCUUGAGAGGAAGGCAGCAGUAAUUGACCCUGUAACUAACUGAAUGCAUCUGGACUGUUGAAGAUGGAGAAAAUCAUCUCCAUGAGCAGAGCUAAGAAGUUUAAAAGAUAAUCUGUCAUACCAUGAAUUCAUGGACUAUUCCUGACCACAGAUUUAGGAUGCUCUCUGAAUAUCCUUUACCGGAAGCUGGAAACUGAUCCAUCUUCACAGACUGCAGGACUGGAAGUGUCCCAGAUGGGGCUAAUUAUGAUACUCAUUCCUCCGACCACACAGACUAGUUAUAUGAUUCAGGCUGGGCCAGUGAACUUAAAGACCAUAUGUAUGCUUCAGGGAAGCCUGGCUCCUCCCCCUCGUGAGAGUGUGAAGAGACCAGUAGGUGUAGGAAGAAAUGGAAUUAAUUUGAAGAGAGGAGCAGGGAUAAGAGGUAGAGGACAUCCAAAUUUUCCAUAUUUUCUAGCUUACUUACUCUACCAAGACAAAAUCAUUUAAAAAAAAAAUCUAGCUCAAGCUGCAUUUAUUAGUCCUGCAUGAUAUAUAAGGCCUUGAAGGACGUGAGUGUG
rnacentral:lncRNA from 1 species